CUGUCAGAAACUCGCCAUGUCUAUUCUCAAGGUCCAUGCCCGAGAGAUCUUUGACUUCCCUGGGAAUCCCACUGUUGUGGUUGAUCUCUACACCUCAAAAGGUCUCUUCCGAGCUGCUGUGCCCAGUGGUGCCUCCACUGGCAUCUAUGAGGCACUGAAACUCCGUGAUAAUAAGACCCGCUACAUGGGGAAGGGUGUCUCAAAGGCUGUUGAGCACAUCAAUAAAACUAUCGAACCUGCUCUGGUUAGCAAGAAACUGAAUGUGGUGGAGCAGGAGAAGAUCGACAAGCUGAUGAUUGAGAUGGACGGCACUGAGAAUAAAUCCAAGUUCGGCGCCAAUGCCAUCCUGGGAGUGUCCCUAGCUGUCUGCAAAGCUGGUGCUGCAGAAAAGGGGGUGCCCCUCUACCGCCACAUCGCUGACUUGGCUGGCAACCUUGAUGUCAUCCUGCCAGUCUCAGCUUUCAAUGUGAUCAACGGCGGGUCUCACGCUGGCAACAAGCUGGCCAUGUAGGAGUUCAUGAUCCUCCCUGUGGGGGCCUCCAGUUUCUGCGAAGCCAUAAGCAUUGGGGCAGAGGUUUAUCACAACCUGAAGAAUGUCAUCAAGAAGUAUGGGAAGGAUGCCACCAAUGUGGGUGACGGGGGCGAUUUGCACCUAACAUCCUGGAGAACAAAGAAGCUCUGGAGCUGCUGAAGAACACAAUUGGAAAGGUUGGCUACACUGACCAGGUUGUCAUCUGCAUGGAGGUGACCGCCUCUGAGUUCUUCAGGUCCGGAAAGUAUGACCUGGACUUCAAGUCUCCUGAUGACGCCAGCAAGUACAUCACCCCCGACCAGCUCGCUGACCUGUAUAAGUCCUUCAUCCGAGAGUAUCUAGUGGUGUCCAUCGAGGACCCCUUUGACCGGGAUGACUAGGAAGCCUGGCGGAAGUUCACAGCUAGUGCAGGCAUCCAGGUGGUUGAUCUCACAGUGACCAACCUUAAGAGGAUCGCCAAGGCUGUCGGUGAGAAGUCCUGCAACUGUCUCAUGCUCAAAGUGAACCAGAUUGGGUCCGUGAUCGAGUCUCUGCAGGCGUAUAAGCUGGCCCAGUUCAAUGUUGGGGCGUCAUGGUGUUCCAUCGCUCUGGGGAGACUGAGGAUACUUUCAUCGCUGACCUGGUGGUGGGGCUCUGCACUGAGCAGAUCAAGACUGGUGCCCCUUGCCGAUCCGAGCGCCUGGCCAAGUACAACCAGAUUCUUAGAAUAGAGGAAGAGCUGGGCAGCAAGGCCAAGUUUGCCGGCAGGUCCUUCAGGAACCCCCUGGCCAAGUAAAGUGGAUGGAGAUUCCCAU